UACGUAGGGACCAAGCGUUUGUUCGGAUUUACUGGGCGUAAAGGGUGCGUAGGCGGCGGGGCAAGUCAGGUGUGAAAAUCUCGGGGCUCAACCCCGAAACUGCACUUGAUACUGCCUUGCUCGAGUACUGGAGAGGAGACUGGAAUUUACGGUGUAGCAGUGAAAUGCGUAGAUAUCGUAAGGAAGACCAGUGGCGAAGGCGAGUCUCUGGACAGUUACUGACGCUGAGGCACGAAGGCCAGGGGAGCAAACGGG
rnacentral:rRNA from 1 species